GUUUUCUACUCCUUUUAUUAAAUUUGCCUCAUUAGUGUUGUCUCCUUUGAGUAGAUCAUCUCUUUCUUAGUGGGGUUUUGAUGACUACAACCACAAAACAAGAAAGUGAGAACUCAGGAAACACAGCAGAAGGAUGGCGUAGGAACUAGAAGAAAAUGUGAUAAAUAUUUGGUGUCAUGAGAUGAAGAAAAUCAACCAUAAUGAGGAAAGAAGGAUGCUGUCAUCCUUAUUAUGCACCCUUGUGGAUUUGGAGGAGGUGGUGGGGUUCUUGACGCACAUCAUUUGCUUCCACAAAUCUCCAAAGUGAUGUCUCCUUUCCUAGAGCUGCUUUCCCAGCUGGCUCCAAUGGUUGAAGUUAAAAGGUUUAAAAAUCCCAUUAAUUUGGCAGCCUGGGUGGCUCAGCGGUUUAGCUCCACCUUCAGCCCAGGGCAUGAUCCUGGAGACCUGGGAUUGAGUCCCACAUCCAGUUCCCUGCAUGGAACCUGCUUCUCCCUCUGCCUGUGUCUCUGCCUCUCUCUCUCUCUCUGUCUCUCAUGAAUAAAUAAAUAAAAUCUUAAAAAAAAAAUAAAAAUAAAAACCC
rnacentral:lncRNA from 1 species